UGGCGGCGUGCCUAAUACAUGCAAGUCGAGCGCAGGAACAAGUAGAUCCCUUCGGGGUGACGCUUGUGGAAUGAGCGGCGGACGGGUGAGUAACACGUGGGCAACCUACCUUGUAGACUGGGAUAACUCCGGGAAACCGGAGCUAAUACGGGAUGAUCAUUUGAAUCGCAUGAUUGAAAUGUAAAAGUGGGGAGUAAUCCUCACACUAUGAGAUGGGCCCGCGGCGCAUUAGCUAGUUGGUAAGGUAAUGGCUUACCAAGGCAACGAUGCGUAGCCGACCUGAGAGGGUGAUCGGCCACACUGGAACUGAGACACGGUCCAGACUCCUACGGGAGGCAGCAGUAGGGAAUCAUCCGCAAUGGGCGAAAGCCUGACGGUGCAACGCCGCGUGAACGAUGAAGGUUUUCGGAUCGUAAAGUUCUGUUAUGAGGGAAGAACAAGUGCCGUUCGAAUAGGGCGGCACCUUGACGGUACCUCACGAGAAAGCCCCGGCUAACUACGUG
rnacentral:rRNA from 1 species